AAUGAGCAUCAGCUUAGAAUCUCAGUGAGGCAGCAGAGUUAAUUUAAGUCGAGUAUGGAAGUCCGAAUAAUAAGGUGAUCUCUUGCAAGAUUAUUGGCUUGGUAUUUGAUGCCAAGAUCCUAUAGAAAGGAGGCCCAAAGUCAAAUUUGAAGGUUGUGAUUCAAUGGAAUUGAGAGUGCAGACAUCUGGCUGAAGCAAAACAGGGUAUGUUCAUAUGAGAUAUCCAUCAAUCAGAGAUUUGUUGAACCAUUUCAAUGGGGAUUCAUGCCACACAAAAAUGCAAACGUAAGCGUUUUUGUUUUGGAAAUGACCACAUAAUCUGCUGCCUGCGCACUGAAAUAUACAGUACAUUCUAUAAGUAAAGGGUUGCCCCCCCCCCCCCCCCACA